rnacentral:rRNA from 1 species
GAUGAACGCUGGCGGCGUGCUUAACACAUGCAAGUCGAACGAAGCUGUUAAAAGGAAGUCUUCGGAUGGAAUUUUAACAGACUUAGUGGCGGACGGGUGAGUAACGCGUGGAUAACCUGCCUUAUACAGGGGGAUAACGGAGAGAAAUCUCCGCUAACACCGCAUAAGACCACAGCACCGCAUGGUGCAGGGGUAAAAUAUUAAUAGGUAUAAGAUGGAUCCGCGUCCGAUUAGCUAGUUGGUGAGGUAGAGGCUCACCAAGGCGACGAUCGGUAGCCGGCCUGAGAGGGUGAACGGCCACAUUGGGACUGAGACACGGCCCAAACUCCUACGGGAGGCAGCAGUGGGGAAUAUUGGACAAUGGGGGGAAAACCCUGAUCCAGCGACGCCCGCGUGAGUGAAAGAAAGUAUUCGGG